UAUAUAUUAAAGUAGGAACUUCUAUUUAGGAACUUUUAGUGAUUGAAUAAGGAAAGAGAAGACGACUACUUUAGUUUUGUGCUGUACUAGAUAAGGUAUACCAAGAGAAAAGCCUAUUUGACAAUGUUUACAAUGAAAGUUACCAAAUUCUCAAACUCUAGCUUGGCCACAAAUCAAAUACAGUAAGUCGUUCGUAGAUCCAUGUGAUUUACUAGUGCAUUCGAUUUGCAUUGGGUUAGGGUGGAGUUUUUAACCGAGUGUCGUCUUGACGUGGCGGAAGUCAUCGGUUCGAGCCUGAUUAUCCCUAAACCCAAUGUGAGUUUUUCUAUUUUUACUUGCUCCCCCGCCGUGAUCGAAUGAGAAUGGAUAAGAGGCUCGUGGGAUUGACGUGAUGGGGUGGGGAUGGCUAUAUUUCUGGGAGCGAACUCCAGGCGAAUAUGAAGCGCAUGGAUACAAGUUAUGCCUUGGAAUGAAAGACAAUUCCGAAUUAGCUUUGUCUACGAACAA